rnacentral:rRNA from 1 species
AUUGAACGCUGGCGGCAGGCCUAACACAUGCAAGUCGAGCGGUAGCACAGAGAGCUUGCUCUCGGGUGACGAGCGGCGGACGGGUGAGUAAUGUCUGGGAAACUGCCUGAUGGAGGGGGAUAACUACUGGAAACGGUAGCUAAUACCGCAUAAUGUCGCAAGACCAAAGUGGGGGACCUUCGGGCCUCAUGCCAUCAGAUGUGCCCAGAUGGGAUUAGCUAGUAGGUGGGGUAACGGCUCACCUAGGCGACGAUCCCUAGCUGGUCUGAGAGGAUGACCAGCCACAUUGGGACUGAGACACGGCCCAG